rnacentral:rRNA from 1 species
UACAGAGGUCUCAACCGUUGUUCGGAUUCAUUGGGCGUAAAGGGUGCGUAGGCGGUCGUGCAAGUCGGAUGUGAAAUCUCAGGGCUCAACCCUGAAACUGCAUUCGAUACUGCGCGGCUAGAGUGCUGGAGGGGAGACUGGAAUUUACGGUGUAGCAGUGAAAUGCGUAGAUAUCGUAAGGAAGACCAGUGGCGAAGGCGAGUCGUCUGGACAGGCAACUGACGCUGAGGCGCGAAAGCGUGGGGAGCAAACAGG